CACUGAUGCGUCAUACUGCUAUCGAAGACGACGCGUGUUCAAUCCAUUCGGAACGACACUUCCCGCGCGCCAUGUGAACUUCUCGUGUCGAUCAUAAUAAUUUUUGUGGCGCGACCGCUAAUAUUCAAAUAAUUUAAUAAUUAUUCUCAACAUAGACAGUGAAUUUCGUGAUGCUGAAUGACAUAUGUGGCAGUGGUGCAUGAGGUUAACGCACGUGCUCGCAUCGUUCCUGAAAAUCCGAUGACAAUGGGGUACUAUAGCAAGGAUUUUGGGCAUAUGAUGGCACCCUGUUUGAGUUAUAGGGAUUUGAGGUAUCCGGCAGGCCAGCAUCUCAGGAGCACGAGAUUUAAGCUCUCCGGGUGAAAAUCGAUAGUAUGCUGCUGCAAGAAAAUUGAUUAAAAGCUCCGCAGUUCAGCAUCCUCCAUCCUCCAUUUUUCCUGCAGCCUCCAGCUAUAGCCAGCUGCUGGAUGGCGAGCAGACAAGACCGUUGGUGACGCCAGCUAACAACAGUGCACAAAUACAGGUCCCAGAUGUGGCGAUCAAAAGAAGACAGCGUGUAAAAAUUUAUUGUUAACUGCGAAAUAUACAUAUUGGAUUUA